rnacentral:misc_RNA from 1 species
GUGCCGUUGCCGUCGUGACGCCAGCCCAACUGCAGCAUGAUGUAAGGGCCACAGACAAAGCUCAUGAUCAGGUGACCGAAGGCGCCGAGCGUGGUCUUGCCAUCGAGCCGGAGCACCGCCUCCUGGCGCAUGCGCCACUGAUAAAGAUGCGUACCCGCCCCUGCCAGACACAUGCCAACCCCGAUCAGCAAGGCUGCCAACAGUAGUUCUUUGCUCAUGCUUCGCUGCCCCUAUGCCCUCAGCGCUGCGGCGAAUUCUUUACCGUUCGUUAAGCAUAUUGGUUGCCUUAUCGUUUGUCAUCCUUCACCGAAAGCUUUGGUUAACGCUGGUCAUGACGACACACGAAGCGUCCACGUCCGAGCGCGGCGCCCUCGCCUACAACCUUGCCGGGAUCGCGGUUCUGGUGCUGUUGGGAGCGGUUGGCGCGGCGACUCGGCUUGACGGGGUCAGUCGCUCGUCGCUCGAUAGGGCACCGGCGCUGGCUGAUGGCGACCCUGUG